rnacentral:rRNA from 1 species
AGUGAACGCUGGCGGUAGGCCUAACACAUGCAAGUCGAACGGCAGCACAGGAGAGCUUGCUCUCUGGGUGGCGAGUGGCGGACGGGUGAGGAAUACAUCGGAAUCUACUCUGUCGUGGGGGAUAACGUAGGGAAACUUACGCUAAUACCGCAUACGACCUACGGGUGAAAGCAGGGGAUCUUCGGACCUUGCGCGAUUGAAUGAGCCGAUGUCGGAUUAGCGAGGUGGCGGGGUAAAGGCCCACCAAGGCGACGAUCCGUAGCUGGUCUGAGAGGAUGAUCAGCCACACUGGAACUGAGACACGGUCCAGACUCCUACGGGAGGCAGCAGUAGGGAAUAUUGGACAAUGGGCGCAAGCCUGAUCCAGCCAUACCGCGUGGGUGAAGAAGGCCUUCGGGUUGUAAAGCCCUUUUGUUGGGAAAGAAAUCCAGCUGGCUAAUACCCGGUUGGGAUGACGGUACCCAAAGAAUAAGCACCGGCUAACUUCGUGCCAGCCGCCGCGGUAA